AUAUCAGUCAUGCAUAGCAUAUCAAUAAGCGGAGGAAAAGAAACUAACAAGGAUUCCCUUAGUAACGGCGAGUGAAGCGGGAAGAGCUCAAAUUUGAAAUCUUCAAGGUUCUACCUUGACGAAUUGUAGUUUAUAGAAGUGUUUUCUGUAGUGGAGUUCGGUAAAAGUUCUUUGGAAUAGGACAUCAUAGAGGGUGAGAAUCCCGUAUUUGACCGUUACUUUCCAGCUGUGUGAUACACUUUCAAAGAGUCGGAUUGUUUGGGAAUGCAGUCCAAAAUGGGUGGUAAAUUUCAUCUAAAGCUAAAUAUUGGCGAGAGACCGAUAGCGAACAAGUACCGUGAGGGAAAGAUGAAAAGAACUUUGAAAAGAGAGUUAAACAGUACGUGAAAUUGUCAAAAGGGAAGCGUUUGACACCAGUGUUGUUUAGUUGAAAAUCCAAUUCAAUAAUUUUUGAUUUUGAGUAGUAUUGACUUCAUCAGCUUGCUGCUUUCUUUUCAGGAAAUUAUUGAAUGCACUUUUCAGUUAACAAGUCAACAUCAAUUUCUUUUGUUGUAAAAGGGUAAUGAGGAAGGUGGCUUACGCUUCGGCGUAAGUGUUUAUAGCCUUUUACCUCUGCAAUCGGAGAGAUUGAGGACAGCAGCGUAGACUCUUCGGGGUUAGAUACACUUGUGCUAAGCUAUAGCCUUGUAUAGACAACUUGUUGACUAUGCUCAGUCAUGUAGCUUACUCGCUUGUGCUAUUUUACCUACGCUUAGGAUGUUGAUCUCUCACAGUCGAGC
rnacentral:rRNA from 1 species